UACGUAGGCAGCAAGCGUUGUUCGGAAUUACUGGGCGUAAAGCGCGCGCAGGCGGUUCUUCAAGUCAGUGGUGAAAGCCCGGAGCUCAACUCCGGAACUGCCAUUGAAACUGUAGAACUUGAGGAUGAGAGAGGUGAGUGGAAUUCCCAGUGUAGAGGUGAAAUUCGUAGAUAUUGGGAAGAACACCGGUGGCGAAGGCGGCUCACUGGCCCGGUACUGACGCUGAGGUGCGAAAGCGUGGGGAGCAAACAGG
rnacentral:rRNA from 1 species